rnacentral:rRNA from 1 species
AGAGUUUGAUCCUGGCUCAGAUUGAACGCUGGCGGAAUGCUUUACACAUGCAAGUCGAACGGCAGCACGGGUGCUUGCACCUGGUGGCGAGUGGCGAACGGGUGAGUAAUGCAUCGGAACGUACCGAGUAAUGGGGGAUAACGCAUCGAAAGGUGUGCUAAUACCGCAUACGCCCUGAGGGGGAAAGUGGGGGAUCGCAAGACCUCACGUUAUUCGAGCGGCCGAUGCCUGAUUAGCUAGUUGGUGAGGUAAAGGCUCACCAAGGCGACGAUCAGUAGCUGGUCUGAGAGGAUGAUCAGCCACACUGGAACUGAGACACGGUCCAGACUCCUACGGGAGGCAGCAGUGGGGAAUUUUGGACAAUGGGCGCAAGCCUGAUCCAGCCAUUCCGCGUGAGUGAAGAAGGCCUUCGGG